rnacentral:rRNA from 1 species
UACGAAGGGGGCUAGCGUUGCUCGGAAUUACUGGGCGUAAAGCGCACGUAGGCGGCUUUCUAAGUCGGGGGUGAAAUCCUGGAGCUCAACUCCAGAACUGCCUUCGAUACUGGAGAGCUCGAGUCCGGGAGAGGUGAGUGGAACUGCGAGUGUAGAGGUGAAAUUCGUAGAUAUUCGCAAGAACACCAGUGGCGAAGGCGGCUCACUGGCCCGGUACUGACGCUGGAGGUGACGAAGGCAGUGGGGAGCAAACACGG